rnacentral:tRNA from 1 species
GGGGCUGUAGCUCAGUUGGGAGAGCGCCAGCUUUGCAAGCUGGAUGUCGUCGGUUCGAGCCCGAUCAGCUCCA